UCUUCCGUGUGUGCAGACUCACGUUUCUAUGACACAGAGUGUGACCUGAACUGUUCUGAUACAUGCAUCAACUCACGCUGUGGAGUGCAGAAAAAAACCUGGCCUGUAAAGACGGAUGCGUUGAUGGUAAACAGGGAACAUGCUGUCAAGAAGAUUGUCUGUCGACAUGUUCUAAAUGCGAGCGCUACGGUAGUAUUUGUGUACAGGGUUCGAAUGCGUUCAACUAUGAAGUGUGACAAACGUUGUCCUCAAAACUGCAAAGGUAGAUGCGCCAAACUGAUCGGUGAUUGCAGAACGUGUGCAUCGGGAUUUAAAGGAACUUAAUAUGAAAGACCUUGCAGGCCAGGUUGUGGGGAAGGUUGUAUAAGGUGUUUACCUGAUCGCAAGGACUGCAUGUCGCCUUGCCCAUAGAACUGCCUACGCUGUCAUAAGGACACAUGGAACUGUUCUAAGUGUGCUCAUGGAAAUACAGGGAGAACGUGUGACGAGUAUUUGCAGAAAUUGGACCCCAACACCGUCCUGAUUGCCUGUUCAACCCUGAGAGUUGUCCUUCUUGGAGGAGUCUUGGUGUUCUUCUACAAAAUAUGCGCUUACAAAUACAGACAUCAGAGGAGAUCGGAGACGAAUCCACCAACUCAUAACCAGAGUGCUUCAACCAUGGACGUGGUGGGUAGAAAUGGAACGCAGGAUACUAGAUCCACAGAUUAUGAUUCCCCUCAUAAAUAUUGGGAUAUUCAUGAUACUGACCUUGACUCAGUGCCGCACUUAAUUUGAUCUGUUCAAUAUGAAGACCUGGAGGGAGGAUGGAAUAGGACGAAGUAUCUUCCGAAACUAGAUAUUCCGGAGAAGCGACGUGAAGACUAUCGGUUUCAUCCAGUAAACAGACCAAAGAACUCUUUGAUUCAGAAGAUGCACAUAAGCUACCUAUGGCAACACAUCUUGGAAACCACAAGAUGAACAAAGAUGUAUGUUCUGCUGAGUUAAACAGUUUCUCUGAUCAUGAAGGGGAAGAUUAUGUGCCGUCCGAUUCACGUGCUGGUUUACAUCUGUCAAGGCGACUUCAAACAUUAGUUUGGACGUGGACAACUGUGCAGAUUCUAGAAGUACGCUAAUGCAUGCAGAUAAAUGUUUAACAGUAUUUGGUUCUGACGGCGUAUGUUGAUAAAAGCGUUGAUAUGGAACAUAUCUAUGACCUGGUAUUACCCACGGCAUGAACACUGAAACAUUUUAUCCGUGAAGAUUCCGGGUUAUCAUAGGUCUUCAGCAACCCAUGCUUGCCGUAAAAGGCGACCGUUCUUGUCGUAAGAGGCGACUAACGG